UACGGAGGGGGCUAGCGUUGUUCGGAAUUACUGGGCGUAAAGCGCACGUAGGCGGCUUUGUAAGUUAGAGGUGAAAGCCCGGAGCUCAACUCCGGAAUUGCCUUUAAGACUGCAUCGCUCGAAUCAUGGAGAGGCGAGUGGAAUUCCGAGUGUAGAGGUGAAAUUCGUAGAUAUCUGGAGGAACACCGGUGGCGAAGGCGGCAUCCUGGACCAACACUGACGCUGAUGAGCGAAAGCCAGGGGAGCAAACGGG
rnacentral:rRNA from 1 species